CCGACAAUUCAGUUUCAUUUGGUUACAGACAUUCUUUUUUGUGAUUGUCGCUUUCUGUCAAAUGUUUGGUUCUUUCUCUCUGUCCAGUUUUGUUUUCGUUUGGUUACAUUCUUUUUUGUGAUCGUCCCUUUCUGUCAAAUGUUUGGUUCUUUCUGUCUGUCUGUUUAGUUUCUUUUCAGGUGUUUGUUUUGUUUUGGUUAUGUACAGCGUGCAUGCUGAUAUUUCUUUACAUCUUAUUUGUUCAAUAUUUUUUUUCUUUUUUUUUCUUUUGGUGUUACAUUUUUGUGGUAGAGGAAGAAACAGAGCAGAGGAAGAGGCAGAGCAACCAAGGGCAAAAUCUUCUUACAGGUGUGGUCUAACAGUUCACUGAUCUCAUAGGGCAUUGCAUACAGCUGCAAUCCUAUUGGGCUUCUAGUAUUGUUGAGAGAAAACUUGACCUGGUGUAUGGUGGAGGAAGUGUUUUAGUAAUGGGCUUGAUUUCUUAGGUUGUUCAUGAUGGUGGCUGCCA